UACGAAGGGGGCUAGCGUUGUUCGGAAUUACUGGGCGUAAAGCGCACGUAGGCGGAUAUUUAAGUCAGGGGUGAAAUCCCAGAGCUCAACUCUGGAACUGCCUUUGAUACUGGGUAUCUUGAGUAUGGAAGAGGUAAGUGGAAUUGCGAGUGUAGAGGUGAAAUUCGUAGAUAUUCGCAGGAACACCAGUGGCGAAGGCGGCUUACUGGUCCAUUACUGACGCUGAGG
rnacentral:rRNA from 1 species